ACACACCCAUUCUAGAGGCAACUCAUGCACGCACACAUCCAUCACACAACACCUCUGGCACCCAUCCAUCGCACAACACCUCCAGCACCCAUCCAUUUGCCAUCUCACGCACACAUCCAUUCAUGAUCAAACCACGCGGCAAUCCAUCCAUCCACAACCCACGCACCCAUUAAUCGGGACUCACGGCCAGGCCGAGGGAAGAACGCACGUAGAAUCCUCACGCAUCGUCCGGAGGUGGAGUGGAUCGCCUCUGGCAGAGUUUCAGGCGGCUGCAUCCCGGGAGCAAGGCGAGGAGGAGGAGGCGAACCACCAUGGAGGCCAAACUCGUGUUUCCGAAGGGGAUGGCCUUCACCAAGCCAACGUUACCAAGAACGACGAGGAGGUCGCCAUCACCACCUGCUGUCCACCUCGUCACGACGGUUCGACCAAGAUGACGACACGGAGCACGCCACGACACCGCCCACCGUCGGCGCCACAGAGGUCGGUGCCCCAGAGGUCGGCGCCACGGUGGCCAACCCUACUCACCACCGCUCGAUGAAGACGACGCGCCGCCGGAGCUCGUCUUCACCAAGCCCACGCUACGGACGCUGACACCACCAAGUUCGAUGCCCCGGGGGGCGACGCCGUAGAUGCCGCCCCUACUCACCAUCGCUCAGCGAAGACGACGCGCCGCCGGAGCUCGUCUUCACCAAGCCCACGCUACGGACACUGAUGCCACCGAGGUCGGUGCCCCGGAGGUCGGCGCCACGGUGGCCAACCCCACUCACCACCACUCGACGAAGACGACGCGCCGCCGGAGCUCGUCUUCACCAAGCCCACGCUACGGACGCUAACACCACCAAGUUUGAUGCCCCGGGGGGCAACGCCGCGGAUGCCGCCCCUACUCACCACCCCUCAACGAAGACGACGCGUCGCCAGGGCUCGUUCUCACCAAGCCAGCAAUCGAGGCCAACGGCACACGAAUCACCAUCACCACUCACAUCUACCUCGUCAUGGCGGUGCGGUGAGGGUGUUGACACAGAGUUCGCCGAGACGCUGCCCACCGCCGACGUCGCCAAGCUGCUGCCAUGGAGGUGGACGCCAUGGAGAUCACCAUCAUCACACACCCUUUGCCCCCUACAUCGAGCUCGUGCCCUGAAGAACGAAGCCGCGGAGUACACCAUACUAUGCUGCCAUGUGUCUUGGUCGAGGAUGACGAGGCCUAACUUUGAUGCCGGCGCAGCACCUCUCCCACACCUCGGCGGGACUGGAUGGUGCCAUCCUCCCGAGUACCAUCGUUGGGUAUGGCCACCUGUGGUGUACCCGGAGAGCAGCUGUACAUCUAAGGCGGAGUACACUACGUAUAGGUGCACGUAUAAGGCCCAGCACCAGUGCACGCAUGAAGACUGAUCGCCGGCUGGUCAUCACUGGAGACGGUCUAGCCUUGUCGCUAAGUUUCUAGUCUGCCUCUUGCCGGUGAAAUCAUCUUUGUGUUGCUGCGCUCCUGAACGCAUUGUUGUGCACCGCGAGGUGGCCAUUGCACGUGCAUGUGCCAUGCACGUAGUCAUUUGAUGGCAGGGUGGCACGUUUGUCAACCUUUCGUCGACUGGAAAAGCCAUCGGAGCCCUCACUCGUUCCUCAAAACGGCGUCGAGCGGUCUGUUCGGCCGUUAAGUCCGCAACCGCUUUAUCAGCGGUCGCCUUGCUUACCCUAGCUUGCUCCUUGGCUUGGGUAAGCUCAUCCCUGUGGGUUUCAACCGUGGCAGCACCAUCUGCACAAACACACACAUUACAGCUCUGGAAACCCCACAGAAUACAGACAUAAAUAGGCAUAACAUAAGAGUAUCUCA